rnacentral:sRNA from 1 species
AGAGCUGAUGGAGCACAAUGGAGAGAGGAAAGAAGGUAGAAGCACUCACCGUCGACGAAGAGCGGUGGUAAUAGAACUUUGCACUACGCCGAGACCCAAGCCCAACUGUAAAGGAGCAAAGAGAGAAGGGGCAAUAAGAUUAAAGUGCUAGAAUUAUAUGUACGACUCUUUUCCAACCGGAUUGCUAUAUUGCUAGCCCUACUAAUAAUUACGACUCAAAGUUUUGGUGUUGCCGUAUCCCAGGCCGGGAGCCGGAUGGUGUACACGUAUAGAUACUACCCAAUAGAGAUCUAACUGUAAUCAGCAGCAGUUGGUGUAAAUGCGCAGAACGCAGAUGCGAUGAUUCUGUAUGCGUCUGUGAUAAAAGAUAGUAAAGCGGCGAGUGUUCAUUGCAUGGAUAAGCAGGGCCUAGAAUAGACCUGGGGUCGACAGUUAGGGCAUGCAUAAGCAAUGGAGAAGCAAAC